ACCUGGUUGAUUCUGCCAGUGGUCUAUGCUCGUCUCAAAGACUAAGCCAUGCAUGUCUAAGUUCACAACAAAAGUUGAAACUGCGAAGCGCUCAGUAAAUCAGUUAAAAUUUAUUCGAUCGUUGAACCACAAGGGAUAACUGUGGUAAAUCUAGAGCUAAUACGUGUGAAAUGACUACUUUGGUAGUGGCAUUUAUUAGUAAAAACACUAAGGUGUAGAUGAAUCUAGAUAACUAUGUAUACCGUCAUGUAAUAUGAAGGUAGUUCGAUCGAGUUUCUGCCCUAUCAUGUUGUUUGUAAGUUAAGGGCUUACAAAGCAGAUAACGGGUAACGGAGAAUCAGGGUUCGAUUCCGGAGAGGGAGCCUGAGAAACGGCUACCACAUCCAAGGAAGGCAGCAGGCGCGCAAAUUACCCAAUCCUGACAUAGGGAGGUAGUGACGAGAAAUAUCGAACCGAUGAAUUCAUCGGUACCGAAAUAUACUUGAUUUAAAAAAUCUUGUUUUAAUUGGAGGGCAAGUCUGGUGCCAGCAGCCGCGGUAAUUCCAGCUCCAAUAGUGUACAUCAAAAUUGUUGCACUUAAAACGCUCGUAGUUGGAUUGUACCCUUUAAGAUUGUAUGAGUAAUCAACAAUGUUGGAGGGAAAUGUUGCGGGACUUGGUAGUGAACUUGAUUGAUCGCUGCUAAUGUUCCUGCAUAGCGUGCCUUGAAUAAAGCAUAGUGCUCAAAACAGGCGAAUGCUUGAGUGUGCUAGCAUGGAACGAAUAUAUGCCACAUAGUGGUUGAUUAAGAGGAACACUAGAGGGUGUUAGUACUUGAUGGCGAGAGGUAAAAUUCUUAGACCCAUCAAAGACUGACUAUUGCGAAGGCAUUCACCAAGAGUGUUUUCAUUAAUCAAGAACGAAAGUUGAAGGUUCGAAGACGAUCAGAUACCGUCCUAGUUUUAACUGUAAACUAUGCUAACACGGGACUAGCCCGCUAGCUAGUUGGUUAAUCCCCCUGCGAAAGCUUUAGUGUUCGAGUUGUGGGGAUAGUAUAGUCGCAAGGCUGAAAUUUAAACGAAAUUGACGGAAAGGCACCACCAGGAGUGGAGCCUGCGGCUUAAUUUGACUCAACACGGGGCAACUUACCAGGUCCAGACAUUGGGAGGAUUGACAGACUGAUGGAUCUUUCAUGAUUCAAUGAUUGGUGGUGCAUGGCCGUUCUUAGUUGGUGGAGUGAUCUGUCAGGUUGAUUCCGGUAACGAACGAGAUUCCAAUCCCUAGUUUCUUUCUCUGUCGACUUUAACGAUGCGGAGUGAAUAGGGAGACUGCACUUGCAAGAGUGAGGAAGUGGAGCAAUAACAGGUCUGUGAUGCCCUUCGAUGUCCUGGGCUGCACGCGCGCUACAAUGAAAGCAACAAAAAGUUCCUGCUCUGAUAAGAAUGGGUAAUCUUGUAAUCGCUUUCGUGCUAUGGAUUGAGCAUUGUAAUUAUUGCUCAUAAAAGAGGAAUUCCUCGUAAACGUGAGUCACCAACUCGUGUUGAAUAUGUCUCUGCCUUUUGUACACACCGCCCGUCGCUACUACCGAUUGAAUUUAUUUGCGAGAAGUAAGGAUUUGUUCAACUAUUUAUUGGUUGGAUAAAGAGAAACUUCGAGUGAAUAUAUUACUAGGAAGUAAAAGUCGUAACAAGGUUUCCCGUAGGUGAACCAGCGGGAG
rnacentral:rRNA from 1 species